ensembl:lncRNA
CUCUCUGUCUCUGUCUCUCUCUCUCUCUCUCUCUCUCUCUCUCUGUCUUUCUGUCUCUCUUUCUGUCAAGAUUCAAGCUUUACGGAGCUUUAUUGACAUGGAAAACUUACAUUGAGGUUCAAAGCACAACAAAUCAAGAAUCAACAUGAGGUACAAAAAUAUUAAUAACUAACCCCAAUUUCUAAUCCUAAUACUGUAACUAACCUCAACAACUAACCGUAACAACCAACCUUGGUCUAAAGAUGAAUUCUAGCUUUAGAUUCUAAAGUUUGAUUUUAAAUGUUAUGGUUUAAGUGAGGCUCACGAUUGUUCUGUUUGUUUCUAGAAUUUGAUGGUGAAAUGUGGUGUUAAGCUCAGCUUCAUGAACUCCUGAUUCUGUCUCUACUGGAGGCUGAAACCCUGAUCUUUAUUAAUUGAUAACAAAUUUGGAUUUGAUUUAAAUGAAGGUCGCCUGAGGUCCGUUCUGAUUGGCCAGAGGUCGCCUUAGGGCUAUUCUGAUAGGCCAGGAAUUUACCUGGCUGCUCCAGAUUGGCUCAGGGCCUAGAUGCUCUGAAGAUCUCUCUCUCUCUCUCUCUCUCUCUCUCUCUCUCUCUCUCUCUCUCUCUCUCUCUCUCUUUCUGUCCGUCUGUCUUUCUCUAUCUCUCCCUUUUUUAAACUUAUAAAAAAUGAUUAAAGAUUAAUUUGAGGUCUAACAAAGAUAUUAACUCUAAAGUUUCCAAGGUCUCUGAGUCUCCACUAGUCUACCAUCUGGUUGGCUUGGUUAGCUGGUUGGCUUGGCUAGCUGGUUGCUAGUUAGCUGGUUGGCUGGUUAGCUGGUUAGCUGGUUGGCUGUUAGCUGGUUGGCUGGUUAGCUGGUUAGCGGGUUGGCUGUUUAUCUGGUUGGCUGGUUAGCUUAUUGCUGGUUAGCUGGUUGGCUGGUUAGCUGGUCGCUGGUUAGCUGGUUGGCUGGUUGGCUGGUUAGCUGGUUGCUGGUUAGCUGGUUGACUGUGUGUUUCUACGUGUGUUUAUAUGAUCAGUAGUUUGGUUCCUCCGAGUUUGAACCUUGAUGGUGAUGAGGCGUUUCCUCUCCUCGGAGCGACCGCAUUCCAGUGAGGAACAGGCAGACACAGGGAGACAGAGGGAGGAGAGGGAGGGAGGGAGGGAGGGAGGGAGGAGGGGGGAGACAGAGAGAGGGCGGGGCCGCAGACAGUGCAACGUGUCGCUGCUGCUUCAGAGAAAGGAAGAACAUAUGCCAAAGAAACGCUGCCCCUCACUUACUCUCCCUCUGUCUCUCCCCCUGUCUCUCUCGCUGUCUCUCCCCCUGUCUCUCUCGCUGUCUCUCCCCCUGUCUCUCUCUCAGUCUCUCCCCCUCUCUCUCUCAGUCUCUCCCCCUCUCUCCCUC